rnacentral:rRNA from 1 species
AAUCAACGCUGGCGGCGUGCCUAACACAUGCAAGUCGAGCGAGAAAGGGGCUUCGGCCCUGAGUAAAGCGGCGCACGGGUGAGUAACACGUGGGUAAUCUGCCCUAGAGUGGGGAAUAACAUCGGGAAACCGAUGCUAAUACCGCAUACGAUCACGAGGUCUUCGGAUUUUGUGAUGAAAGGAGAAAUCCGCUCUUGGAGGAGCCCGCGGCUGAUUAGCUAGUUGGUAAGGAACGGCUUACCAAGGCAACGAUCAGUAUCCGGUCUGAGAGGACGGUCGGACACACUGGAACUGAGACACGGUCCAGACUCCUACGGGAGGCAGCAGUGGGGAAUCUUGCGCAAUGGGCGGAAGCCUGACGCAGCAACGCCGCGUGAGGGAAGACGGCCU